UUUUGUAAUUAACUUUUUUUUUUAAACUUUUAUCAAAACAUACCCUAUUGGCCCAAGGGGAAGGGAAUACAGAAACACAGAUACGCGAUUCCUAUCCUGAGGGUAAUGUAACUGUAUAGGAAUGAGUAAGAGAUCACGAGAAAGAAGAGACGCCUGCCUCAGCAGAGGAAGGCAAACGCCACAGGGGCUGCCGCAUGCAGCAUAAGCGAAGCAAAGGAGAACUGCAUCGUGGGGGGGGACCCUCCAAGAAUUUGAAGAGCGGCAUGGAUUUAUUUGAUCUCAUGACAGGUUUGCCGGAUGCCUAUUGAUCAGUGACAAGGGUAGCUCAAGGUAAAUCAGAUUUUAGGCAGCAAAUUCCCAGUCCCCCUGGGAGAGGUUGCACAGUUUUCCAGAGAGAAGGAGAGGUUUUACAAUAAAAAUACUAAGAAAGAAAAUCUUCAGCUGGUGUGAGGUAACAGGCUGAAAAAAAUAAAUCUAGAAAGGUAACAUCAGAAGUAAGAGUUGGUUAUUAAUGUAAAGAAAAUACAACAUAGGAGAAAGAACAUGGCUCCAGAGGUGAAGACGGGAGGAUGGUGUUGAUGCAUGUGGACAAAUGAUCUCCGGUACACCGAUGGGACGACACUGUAUAUAACCCAGCAGACCAGCCACACUUAAAGCAACAUGCCAAUGUAAAGGCAUUUUCUGUCUACGUGUAAAAAGCAAGUCGGAAGAAAACAAGUGGAAGGACGGCCAGGCAGCCUUCACAAGUGUGCAGCAUCCCCUAUGAAGUCCUCUCUGACCAGGGGACUCCCUUCACCUCAAAUACCUUCUUGUAAAUCGCCAGGCUGUUACAUAUCAUCCAUCUCCAGACAUCUGUCUACCAUCCAGAAACAGAUGGCUUAGAUGAGUGAUUGUGCCAGAUGCUGACAAAGAUGAUACACACAGACAGGAGAGACUGGGACCAUCUGCCUCCCUUUGUCCUCUUUGCUUUACGGGAAGCAUUGCUGUGGAUUUCUCUCCAUUCAAGCUUUUAUACAGGAGACUGCCAUGGAGUCUGCUUGGCCUAAUUCAGGAGGGUUUAGAAGGAGGUAGCAAUGCCUUCCUCCAGCAAUAUUAUUGAGUAUGUCAUGAACUUAUGCGACUGUUUCUCAUGGCUUUGACCCCUUGUAAAAAGAACACCUUGAAUGUGUUCAGCGCACACAGAUGCAGCUCUGCCUUUGUAAGUUUUGUCCAGGUGAUCAGGUUAUGGUACUAAUUCACAUCUAUUCCAAGUUCUGGCCCACUGGCUGGGGGCUUUAGAAAUACAAGAGAGAAAGAGACUGGAUGAUUACUUGG